GAAGGAGAAGAAGAAUGGUUAGUCUCUCUCUCUCUCUCAUUUCCCUUUCCCUUUUGCAGAUAAUUGUAAAAUCCCUAAAUUCAGCUUUCUUAGCUGCAUCCGAAGCCGAUUCGAUCGAUACUUUGUUCAUCUCAGCAAUCACAGAAGGAAAUCAAGAAACUGAUCUCUCUAAAAGUGGUCCAAAACCCUCAUUUUCAUCUCCGUCAGACGCAUUUGACCCCACCGAUGCAUUAGAAUCCUUCCCUACACCAUCAAUUACUGAUGGGAAUCAAGGAUCUGGCAUGUAUCUACACACACAUCCACCUGAUGCAUGGCCUGGACUUCCACAUCGUGAAGUUGCCAUGCGUGUCCACAUAUAGAGAUGCAUGUGGAAAGAUUAUGUUCUUGCUUCUAUUAUUACCGUUUUGGUAUAUCUACAAAAAAUUGCAGGUUUGCAAAGUGGCCCCCAUGGAAAUCCUCUCCCACAUGCACUUUACAAGCAAAAUAUGUGCCAAUAUGGCAUGUGUCCAGUAUAUCUGAUAGGAGCAUAGGAUGGGCUACACCAUGCAGAUGAUGGUGACCAUCUAAUUUUGCUCUUGCAACUUGAACCACUCACUAUAUCAUUUUUAUCCAUCCAUUAAGAUAACCACCAUUUGGUUAGUUAGGAUUGAUUUAUCAUUUUGAUUUCCAACAUGCACCUUUCAAGAUGUGCCUUACAAUUUGAAUGGUCUAAAAAGUUGUACUUGUGUGCCACGUGAGGAGUAACUGCCAAUUUCAGAAUGGUAACAACUCUUCCAACAGAACAUGGAAAAGUUAUAUGACAAUCUUGAUUGUACAAAUAACUUAACCGAUUGUGCUUUGAGCAUAAAACAGAAUUUCACCAACCACAUGAAAUUAAUCAUUUGAUUUUGCCUUGGAAUUUGAACCAUUCACUGUUAACCAUCCAUUUGAUAACCAUCAAUCAAAUGAUGAUUAUCUUUGAUUUAUUAAUGUGCAUUUUGAAAUGAUAAAUAGCCAUGCAUGAGUGCCACAUUUGAGGAAGAUGACUCACUAAACUACCAUUUUCAAGAUGUUUGUGAGCUCUGACAUGUAUGAUGACUCCUUUGAUAGUUAACUGCAAUUUUAAGAAAAUGGUGGUAACUCUUCCAACAUACACAUGUCACGGUUAUAUGACAAUCCAAGCUGUCCAAUUGCUUGCCCAAUUGUGUUCGGAGCAUAAAGUUACACAGGUAACCACAUAUCCUGGCCAUCCUAAUUGUUGGCCCAACUGAUAUUUCAAUUUGGCCCUUUGGAAUUUAAGCCAAUCGCUGUUUGACUUUUAACCGUCAAAUGGAUGGUUAGGAUUGGUUGAUUA